GUCCUUGCUCUCAGCUAGGUUUUAAUGUGUUAACUGUUGCGAAAACCUUAUAAUCUCUUCUGCAGGCUUGCUGUAGCUAGCUGCGACCUUAUCAUACCUUAACAAGACCUUUUAUUUAAUAGGAAUUCUUAAGUUAUGAAGACGUGAUGUGAAAGAAGUUUUACAUGUGUUUACAUCCCCUGAAGAUGGGUCGAAGACACGUAACUCUUUUGGAAACAGUCAUCGACUGAAUUGUUCAAAACUGAACUCGACGUGGAAGAAACAAAAUUAUACUUAGAUAGGUCUUCAUCUGAUCGGUUAAUAGUAUAGUGUAGGCUAUCUAGGUUAAGCUUAUAAUUAUCAAAUUGAACUGACAUAUACAAAAGGAUUUUUUCCUGCUUAGGAUAACUGGCAAUCAUAGCAACACUUGUGAACCAUAUCAAUGAAUAUUCCAUGUGGCAGGACUUUCGCUUUUUGCAAUCAGAGCACGUAUAUAACUGCACGAGUCUUAUAGUCUGACCUUGGGAUUUCUUAACGAAACCCACCACUGUAACGUGAUAUUUCAAGGGUUUUUUACUGAUCUGACUGGUCUCCUUCAUGCUCAUAUGCAUCGAAUAUUAACUAAUAUAUUGGUAGUGUGUUUGAAUGAAAGUGGACCAAGUUGGAAAGCAGUCUUAAAUAAAUAACGGCUGCAGAUUCAUA